UACGGAGGGUGCGAGGGUUAAUCGGAAUUACUGGGCGUAAAGCGCGCGUAGGUGGUUUGUUAUGGUGAAUGUGAAAGCCCCGGGCUCAACCUGGGAACUGCAUCCAAAACUGGCAAGCUAGAGCACGGUAGAGGGUGGUGGAAUUUCAUGUGUAGCGGUGAAAUGCGUAGAUAUAGGAAGGAACACCAGUGGCGAAGGCGACCACCUGGACUGAUACUGACACUGAGGUGCGAAAGCGUGGGGAGCAAACAGG
rnacentral:misc_RNA from 1 species